UUUCCGUAGGUGAACCUGCGGAAGGAUCAUUAAAGAACGCCCCGUUUUUUGAAAUGGGUAAUUCUAAACCGUGUAUACAUACCUUUGUUGCUUUGGCAGGCCGCCCCUCAGGGCGUCGGCUCCGGCUGACCGCGCCUGCCAGAGGACCCAAACUCUUUUGUUUAGUGAUGUCUGAGUACUAUAUGAUAGUUAAAACUUUCAACAACGGAUCUCUUGGUUCUG
rnacentral:misc_RNA from 1 species